rnacentral:tRNA from 1 species
AUCUGAAUAAUUCAAUGGUAAAAGCAGUCGCUCGGCAAGCGAAAGACUCGGGUUUGAUUCCCGAUUCAGUGA